rnacentral:rRNA from 1 species
UUAGGAAUCUUGGGCAAUGGGCGAAAGCCUGACCCAGCAACGCCGCGUGGGUGACGAAGGCCCUCGGGUCGUAAAGCCCUUUUGCACGGGAAGAUGAUGACGGUACCGUGCGAAUAAGCCCCGGCUAACUACGUGCCAGCAGCCGCGGUAAUACGUAGGGGGCAAGCGUUGUCCGGAUUUAUUGGGCGUAAAACGCUCGUAGGUGGCCACGUCAAGUCGGAUGUGAAAUCUCCCGGCUCAACUGGGAGGGGUCAUUCGAUACUGGCGGGCUCGAGGCUGGUAGGGGGAAGCGGAAUUCCGGGUGUAGUGGUGGAAUGCGUAGAUAUCCGGAGGAACACCAGUGGCGAAGGCGGCUUCCUGGACCGGUUCUGACACUGAGGAGCGAAAGCGUGGGGAGCGAU